GAUGAACGCUGGCGGCGUGCCUAAUACAUGCAAGUCGAGCGAAUGGAUUAAGAGCUUGCUCUUAUGAAGUUAGCGGCGGACGGGUGAGUAACACGUGGGUAACCUGCCCAUAAGACUGGGAUAACUCCGGGAAACCGGGGCUAAUACCGGAUAACAUUUUGAACCGCAUGGUUCGAAAUUGAAAGGCGGCUUCGGCUGUCACUUAUGGAUGGACCCGCGUCGCAUUAGCUAGUUGGUGAGGUAACGGCUCACCAAGGCAACGAUGCGUAGCCGACCUGAGAGGGUGAUCGGCCACACUGGGACUGAGAAACGGCCCAGACUCCUACGGGAGGCAGCAGUAGGGAAUCUUCCGCAAUGGACGAAAGUCUGACGGAGCAACGCCGCGUGAGUGAUGAAGGCUUUCGGGUCGUAAAACUCUGUUGUUAGGGAAGAACAAGUGCUAGUUGAAUAAGCUGGCACCCUGACGGUACCUAACCAGAAAGCCACGGCUAACUACGUGCCAGCAGCCGCGGUAA
rnacentral:rRNA from 1 species